CGCCGCCGCCGCCCCCCCCGCGCCGCGCUCACCUUUUAAAUUUUCCGCCAUCUUCGCUUUUUUUUUUUUUUUUCCCUUUUCCCCCUUUUUUUUUUUUUUUUUUUUAAUUUUUUUUCCCUCCCUUCCUCCCCGCGCGCCUUCCCUUUCCGCCCGGCGGCCCCCGCGCGCGCGCGAGCGCGCUGCGCUCCCAUUGGCUGCCGCCGCCGCUUCGUUUGCAUCCCUCCCGGCGGCCCCCGCGGCGGCGCGUUUCGGCCCCAAAAAGCCCUUUUUUCACCCAAAUGCCGGUGUUUUCGCCGCUCCCGUCGCUGCCUACGUGGGGGGCGCCACCCCCCCGAGCCGUUAAGUCGGGGGCCCGUCACUCCGUGCCCCUCGCCCUAACCUUGAUUCCUCGCCUCACGGCGGCUCGGAGGCUGCCGGCGGGGCUGAGGAGCGGCGCCUGCAGCCCGCCCUGGCCCUGGAUGAAGUCGUAGAUGAGCCGCGAGGUCUCGGCGUCCGCCAGCUGCGCCUCGCUGAUGCCCGCCCGCGAGAACAGCGCCCGCAGUACAGGCUGUGAUCUCCGUACCCGCUCCCAGUCUAUACUGGGAGAUGACCAGUGCGAACUGGGAGCCCCACACCCCUUCCCAGUAGGAACUGGGAGGCUGAUCCCAAGCCCCAGUCCCACUGGAACCCUCCCAGUCCAUACUGGGAGGCUGCAGACUGGUCACGGGNNNNNNNNNNGGCUCCGUGUCCUCGCCCCCACCCCCCCCCGCGGGGGGGGGGGGGGGGCAAUAAAUAAAGAGGGGGGGGAAAGCAACCGGGGGGCGUGGGAACCGGUCUGUACUGGUCCAUACUGGGAGGACCCGUUUGUGCAAUGAGAUCCCAGCUGGGGCACCCUACUGGUCCAUACUGGUCCAUACUGGGAGGACACAAGGCCACGCGGGUGAAGAAAUAAAUCCUGGGCACGAUGCUGUACUGGUCCGUACUGGUCUGUACUGGUCCGUACUGGGAGGACACAAGGCCACGUGGGUGAAGAGUCCCCAGUUGGGUGCUGUACUGGUCCAUACUGGUUGGCACUGGGGUAGUUCUGGCUGUGCCGAUGGAGUGAUCCCAGUUGGGAUCUCAUACUGGUCCAUAAUGGUCCAUACUGGUCUGACUGCGGGCGCAGCGUGUGCGGGGCUCCCAGUUGGGUCCUGGCCCCUUUCCCAGUCCAAACUGGUCUGGCCCGGGGCGACGGAGGCGCAGGAGCUCCCAGCUGGGCUGCUGUAGUGCUUCGUACUGGUUUAUACUGGGGUGUCCGCGGGGGAGGCACUGGGUCAUACUGGGCUGUACUGGGGCAUACUGGGCUGUACUGGGCCAUAUUGUGCCAUACAGGGCCGCACUGGGCUAUACUGGGUCAUACAGGACUACACUGGGCCAUAUUGAGCCAUACUGGGCUAUACAGGGCCAUACUGGGCCAUACUGGGCCAUACAGCCCCCACCGCCCUGUGCCACACUGGGNNNNNNNNNNGGGGAGGCACUGGGUCAUACUGGGCUGUACUGGGGCAUACUGGGCUGUACUGGGCCAUAUUGUGCCAUACAGGGCCGCACUGGGCUAUACUGGGUCAUAAAGGACUACACUGGGCCAUAUUGGGCUAUACUGGGCUGUGUUGGCCAUACUGGGCCAUACUGGGCCAUACUGGGCCAUACAGCCCCCACCGCCCUGUGCCACACUGGGCCCUGCUGGGCCAUACUGGGUGUUCACCCCCCCCAUAACCCCCCCC
rnacentral:lncRNA from 1 species